GUCAAGAAUCUUUCGCAAUGCCCGCAAGGGUGACGGAGCGACGCCGCGUGAUCGAUGAAGCUCUUCGGGGUGUAAAGAUCUUUUCCCAAGGAAGAACAAAUGACUGUACUUGGGGAAUAAGAGGUUGCUAACUCUGUGCCAGCAGCAGCGGUAAUACAGAGACCUCAAGCGUUAUCCGGAUUUAUUGGGCGUAAAGCGUGCGCAGGUGGUUUGUUAAGUAAGGGGUUAAAGCUUAGAGCUCAACUCUAAGAAAGCUUCUUAAACUAACAAACUAGAGGAUGGGAGAGGCAAACGGAAUUGCUGGUGAAGGGGUAAAAUCCGUUGAUAUCAGCAAGAACACCAAAUGCUAACGCAGUUUGCUAGAACAUUCCUGACACUGUUGCACGAAAGCGUGGGGAGCAAAGAGGAUUAGAAACCCCUGUAGUCC
rnacentral:rRNA from 1 species